rnacentral:lncRNA from 1 species
CAGUAAUUUUGUUGUAUUUAGAAAGCAAACAGGGUCAUAUUUUUAAAAAUAUAGCGCACUGAAUAUAAAUUUGAGCAUCAUUAAAAUGUGUUCGCUAUAAUGCCAUUUUGUCUCCGGUAUAUACGGAGUUCUGCUUUUAUACUUGUGGAUAUUCGAAUUUAUUUGGCUCAAAAACACCAUUACUUCAAUAUCCCUUUUUUGUUUUUCCUUGGAUAGGUUUUAACAAGAUAGAACUCUAGAUCACUUGGGUCCAAAGACGCUAGAUUAUAAAAUCCUGAUGUGACCGUCUUGAUACUACGAAUAGAAUAUGUCUUAUGAUUUAAUACUACAAAUAGAAUGUCUUUUAAGUACAAACUUCAAUGAAUUGAUAAAGUGUAAGGAUAGUGUUUAAAGUCGCUUCAUGUGUAGAAGCUGAAUUACUUUAGUUUAUACACUGUAUAUUGUCGAGAUCACAUGUUGAUAUGACUUAAUACUAGCAACUUGCAAUAAGUGGUCUGUUCUGCUUGUUUAUAAUACUUUAGAGUUUGGACAUUAGAACAUUGUAAGAGGGUCUGAAUGGGGUUAACUGACUACUGACAUUUGCCUGAAUUUUUGACUGACAACUGACAAAAUGUCCUAACUGACAACUGAGAAAUAAUGACAAAACCAUGAGUCAGCUUUUUUGCAGUAACUGACUACUGACAGCUUGCAAUAUAUCGCACUGACAACUGACAACUGGCUUACAUUUUAGCUGACAACUGACACCCAUAGACCCCCAUUAAGACCCUCUUGUAAUUGCCUGACAGAGACUGUUAGGGCCUGUUUGUAUGGAAGCUGGGUUGGCCCGCUUAGCAAGACAGCCCGGUAAGGUAGGUAUUAAAGCAGGAUGAUUUCUCUUGUGUUUAUUUGAGAAAAUUUCAUUCUGCUUACCAGGACAAUUUUGUUGUUUUGACAUUAUUUUGGCAGUUGUUAAAAAUAGCUUGCGGCAGUAUCUUUGAACUUUCAUUCUGGCAACCGGGCUAGCCUGCUUAUGAUUGUUUAUGUGGAGAAAUUUCCAUCCUGGUCUUGGCAACCGGGCCUGCCCGCUUGUCCAUAGAAAUGAUAAUUUGUACUAUAAAAAUAACUAGACAGCGAGAUCUCACUUACCGGGCUGUCUCACUUAGCGGGUUAGCCAGUUUCAAUAUAAACAGACCCUUACACAACUGCUAAAAGCUGCAAGUUUCUUUAAAGCAAUAUCAUCUAUAUCACAGAAUACAGUUUCUGUAGUGACUCUCAUUGUAACUCAGUAGUCUCAGUUAUUCCUUCUCAAGAAAAAUAAAAAACAAAGCUGUG